GAUUAGAUACCCUGGUAGUCCACGCCGUAAACGAUGCAUGCUAGACGUUGGAGGUUUAGGCCUCUUGUGUCGCAGCUAACGCACUAAGCAUGCCGCCUGGGGAGUACGGCCGCAAGGUUGAAACUCAAAUGAAUUGACGGGGGCCCGCACAAGCGGUGGAGUAUGUGGUUUAAUUCGACGCAACGCGAAGAACCUUACCAGCCUUUGACAUGUCCAUUAUGGGUCUGAGAGAUCAGAUCCUUCGGUUCGGCCGGGUGGAACACAGGUGCUGCAUGGCUGUCGUCAGCUCGUGUCGUGAGAUGUUGGGUUAAGUCCCGCAACGAGCGCAACCCUCAUCUUUAGUUGCCCCCGGGUCAGGCCGGGCACUCUAAAGAAACCGCCGGUGACAAGCCGGAGGAAGGCGGGGAUGACGUCAAGUCCUCAUGGCCCUUACAGGCUGGGCUACACACGUACUACAAUGGUGGUGACAGAGGGCAGCGAACCCGCGAGGGGGAGCCAAUCCUCAAAAGCCAUCUCAGUUCGGAUUGCACUCUGCAACUCGGGUGCAUGAAGUUGGAAUCGCUAGUAAUCGCAGAUCAGCACGCUGCGGUGAAUACGUUCCCGGGCCUUGUACACACCGCCCGUCACGCCAUGGAAGUUGGUUUUACCUGAAGCCGGCGAGCUAACCGCAAGGAGGCAGCCGACCACGGUAAGGUUAAUGACUGGGGCGAAGUCGUAACAAGGUAGCCGUAA
rnacentral:rRNA from 1 species